rnacentral:lncRNA from 1 species
AAAGUCUCCGGCGACCCCAGCUGCAACCACACCCACUACUUCACCAUCAGCUGCAACCACACCCACCACUUCACCACCAGCUGCAGCUCCCACAAAGCCCAAGUCACCAUCUCCAGUCGCUUCCCCAAAAUCGGCUCCACCCGCUUCAACUCCGGUGUCGGCAACACCCAAGCCUGCGGCCGCGGCUCCAACUCCGGUGGCUACUCCUCCUACUGUUGCCGUUUCACCUCCAUUGCCAGCUCCAGUGAGCUCACCACCUUCUAAGGCUCCGGCCAGCUCUCCACCGGCUAAAUCUCCUCCGGCAGCCGCUCCGGCUCCAGUCGCUGAGCCAC